CGAGCCUCACCUUCGGCCACAACGGCUCCUGGAGGGAGAGAGAAAGAGGGAGGGCCUGACUCACAGAGGCCUAGGAGGGAGAGGCCCAGCCCUGGGGCCCCCCGGCCCCCUCAGCCUGCCUCCAGCCGUGCCACAAGGCCACGUGUCUGUGUUUACGUGUUUAUUGUCCGCUGGCUCCCGCUGCCCUCAAGAAUGCCAGAGCCCGAAAUAGCUGGGCACUGAAGCCCAAUUAUCCGAAGCCGCUGCAGUCUAGGACACACAGAGUUCCAGGAGGCAGAAGGCCUUGAUAGAGGCAGUGACAGAGUCGCGGAGUCAAGAUGGAGACAGCAGCAGCCACAGGGACUAGAGA